GGGCGUGUAGCUCAGCUGGAAAUUUCGAUGGAAGCAGAAAACUUCUGCUUCGGUCAGCAGUAGAGCGCGGGUCUUCUAAGCCUGAGGUCGAGGGUUCGAAUCCCUUCACGCCCA
rnacentral:tRNA from 1 species